rnacentral:rRNA from 1 species
CCUACGGGAGGCAGCAGUGGGGAAUAUUGGGCAAUGGGCGCAAGCCUGACCCAGCAACGCCGCGUGAAGGAAGAAGGCUUUCGGGUUGUAAACUUCUUUUCUGAGGGGCGAAGAAAGUGACGGUACCUCAGGAAUAAGCCACGGCUAACUACGUGCCAGCAGCCGCGGUAAUACGUAGGUGGCAGGCGUUAUUCGGAUUUAUUGGGUGUAAGGGGCGUGUAGGCGGGAAAGCAAGUCAGAUGUGAAAACUCAGGGCUCAACCCUGAGCCUGCAUUUGAAACUGUUUGUCUUGAGUGCUGGAGAGGCAAUCGGAAUUCCGGGUGUAGCGGUGAAAUGCGUAGAUAUUAGGAGGAACACCAGUGGCGAAGGCGGCUUGCUGGACGACGACUGACGUUGAGGCUCGAAAGCGUGGGGAGCAAACAGGAUUAGAUACCCCUGUAGUC